CGCUGGCGGCAUGCCUUACACAUGCAAGGUCGAACGGCAGCACGGGAGCAAUCCUGGUGGCGAGUGGCGAACGGGUGAGUAAUAUAUCGGAACGUGCCCGGUCGUGGGGGAUAACGUAGCGAAAGCUACGCUAAUACCGCAUACGAUCUACGGAUGAAAGCGGGGGAUCGCAAGACCUCGCGCGAUUGGAGCGGCCGAUAUCAGAUUAGGUAGUUGGUGAGGUAAAGGCUCACCAAGCCGACGAUCUGUAGCUGGUCUGAGAGGACGACCAGCCACACUGGAACUGAGACACGGUCCAGACUCCUACGGGAGGCAGCAGUGGGGAAUUUUGGACAAUGGACGCAAGUCUGAUCCAGCCAUUCCGCGUGCAGGAUGAAGGCCCUCGGGUUGUAAACUGCUUUGUACGGAACGAAACGGUGAGCUCUAAUACAGUUUGCUAAUGACGGUACCGUAAGAAUAAGCACCGGCUAACUACGUG
rnacentral:rRNA from 1 species